AUGACCUUGAACCGGCAGGAGGCAGGUGCAGGCUCUGGUCUGUCUGCCACACUGUGCUGCGAACAGUCAGUGUGCAGGUCGCUUGUCCCCGCGUGGACAGGUUCCCAGAGCCUGUGUCCCUCUAAAGUCAUUGUCACUUCCCAGGACCCCCAAAGCUCCGUACCCUUGCUGUUUGUCCGUGAAGUCUGCUGUUUGAUAAAAACUAACUUUGGCUCUAUUCCAGGACCCCAUCCCCGUGUGCACCUCCCUCCUUGGAGACACUUCCGACACCGCUCCCACCGGCCUCGCCCAGCGCCUCGCCAGGAAGACCAACAAGCAGGUGUUCGUUAGCUACAACCUUCAGAACACAGACAGUGACUUUGCCCUGCUCGUGGAAAACAGGAUCAAGGAGGAAAUGGAGGCUUUUCCGGAGAAGUUCUGAGUGGCAGAAGGGAGGAUUUCUAACCGGACAUUUAAAUAAAAGAGUUUUGAUUUGGUCAUCAGGCUGUGUUCCCAUUUUAUUUUUGCCAGGUUAAGCUCUCAGCAGAGUGGGCUGGAAAGGCUCAUAUUGAGGGGCCUGGAAGGAGGAAAACAUGGGGAUAGGAAAGGCUUUCUUGUUGACCACUCAGUGACGUGGAAAAGGGGUGGAAAUGGAUGUAUUGGGAUUGAUGGGUAGAAUCCAACAACCCCAAAUUUAAGUCAG
rnacentral:lncRNA from 1 species